rnacentral:rRNA from 1 species
GACCACCUGAUCCCUUCCCGAACUCAGAAGUGAAACGACGCAUCGCCGAUGGUAGUGUGGGGUCUCCCCAUGUGAGAGUAGGUCAUCGUCAAGC